CCUACGGGAGGCUGCAGUGAGGAAUAUUGGUCAAUGGGCGAGAGCCUGAACCAGCCAAGUCGCGUGAGGGAUGACUGCCCUAUGGGUUGUAAACCUCUUUUGUCGGGGAGCAAAAGCCGGACGUGUCCGGCUGUGAGAGUACCCGAGGAAAAAGCAUCGGCUAACUCCCGGCCAGCAGCCGCGGGCAUACGGAGGAUGCGAGCGUUAUCCGGCGUUAUUGGGUGUAAAGGGUGCGGAGGCGGAUUUUUAAGUUAGCGGUAAAAUCGUGGGGCUCAACCCCAUCCCGCCGUUGAAACUGGGGAUCUAGAGUGUGCGAGAGGUAUGCGGAAUGCGUGGUGUAGCGGUGAAAUGCAUAGAUAUCACGCAGAACCCCGAUUGCGAAGGCAGCAUACCGGUGCACAACUGACGCUCAGGCACGAAAGCGUGGGUAUCGAACAGGAUUAGAUACCCUGGUAGUC
rnacentral:rRNA from 1 species